AGAGUUUGAUCCUGGCUCAGGACGAACUUUGGCGGCGCGCCUAAUACAUGCAAGUCGAACGGAGCCCUUAGGAGCUUGCUUUUCUAGAGUUAAUGACGAGACUGAGAGUAACACGGGAGUAACCUGCCCGGGAAAGCGGCACCACACUUGGAAACAACUGCUAAUACCGGAUGCUCCCACCAUCCGGCCUCACAUUAACGGAAAAGGAGUUGUUCACUUCUCGAUGGACUCGAGACCGAUUCGCUAUGGAGUGACGAAACGGCCCGCCAACGCCACAAUUGGGAGACGAACUGAGAGGUGGAACAGACGCUUAGCGACUGAGACGCGACCCAGACUCCUACGGGAGGCAGCAGUGGGGGAUAUUGCACAAUGGGGGAAACCCUGAUGCAGCGACGCCGCGUGGAGGAAGAAGGUUUUCGGUUUGUAAACUUCCUUUCGUCUAGGGAAGCUAAUGACGGUACCUAACAAGAAAGCACCGGCUAACUACGUGCCAGCAGCCGCGGUAAUACGUAGGGUGCAAGCGUUGUCCGGAAUUACUGGGUGUAAAGGGUGCGUAGGCGGAUUGGCAAGUCAGAAGUGAAAUCCAUGGGCUUAACCCAUGAACUGCUUUUGAAACUGUUCGUCUUGAGUGCAGUAGAGGUAGGCGGAAUUCCUGGUGUAGCGGUGAAAUGCGUAGAUAUUGGGAGGAACACCAGUGGCGAAGGCGGCUUACUGGGCUUUAACUGACGUUGAGGCUCGAAAGUGUGGGUAGCAAACAGGAUUAGAUACCCUGGUAGUCCACACCGUAAACGAUGAUUACUAGGUGUGGGGGGUCUAACCCCCUCCGUCCCCGAGCUUAACCCAAUAGGUAUAUCCCCCUGGGGGAGUACGUUCGCCAAGGUGGAAACUCAAAGAAAUGGCCGGGGCCCCCCCCAAGCAGUGGACUAUGUGUUUUAAUUCGAACCACCGGGAAGACCCUUCCCAGUUCUUACCUUCCGGAUGCUAUUUCUAGACAUUGCAUGCCAUUUGGGUCCUCCGAUACCAGGGGGGCCAUGGUGUUCUUCAGCUCGUUUCGGGGAGAUGUGGGGUAAAUUCCCCCAACGAGCCCAACCCCUUCUUUUAGUUCCCAUCAUUCAGAUUGGGCACUCUAGGGAGACUCCCGGUGAAUAACCCGGAGGAAGGGUGGGGAUGACGUCAAAUCAUCAUGCCCCUUAUGACCUGGGCUACACACGUGCUACAAUGGUGGGAACAACGAGAAGCGAGCCGGUGACGGCAAGCUAAUCUCUAAAAGCCAAUCUCAGUUCGGAUUGCAGUCUGCAACUCGCCUACAUGAAGUCGGAAUCGCUAGUAAUCGCGGAUCAGAAUGCCGCGGUGAAUACGUUCCCGGGUCUUGCACACACCGCCCGUCA
rnacentral:rRNA from 1 species